GGCUAAUACCGGAUGUGCCCGCAAGGGGAAAGGAAGCUUCGGCCUCCGCAUCGAGAUGGGCCCGCGGNGCAUUAGCUUGUUGGUGAGGUAAGGGCUCACCAAGGCUUCGAUGGGUAGCUGGUCUGAGAGGACGAUCAGCCACACUGGGACUGAGACACGGCCCAGACUCCUACGGGAGGCAGCUAGUGGGGAAUCUUGCGCAAUGCGCGAAAGCGUGACGCAGCAACGCCGCGUGGGGGAAGAAGGCUUUCGGGUUGUAAACCCCUUUCAGUUGGGACGAAGCUCUGCCGGUGAAUAGCCGGUUGGAGUGACGGUACCUUCACAAGAAGCACCGGCUAACUACGUGCCAGCAGCCGCGGUAAUACGUAUGGUGCAAGCGUUGUCCGGAAUUAUUGGGCGUAAAGAGCGUGUAGGCGGCCCGAUUAGUCCGCUGUGAAAGUUCAGGGCUCAACCCUGGAAUGCCGGUUGGAUACUGUCGGGCUAGAGUCCGGAAGGGGCGAGUGAAA
rnacentral:rRNA from 1 species